rnacentral:rRNA from 1 species
UGGGGAAUAUUGCGCAAUGGGCGAAAGCCUGACGCAGCAACACCGCGUGAGGGAUGACGGCCUUCGGGUUGUAAACCUCUUUCAGCUCCGACGAAGCGAAAGUGACGGUAGGAGCAGAAGAAGCACCGGCUAACUACGUGCCAGCAGCCGCGGUAAUACGUAGGGUGCAAGCGUUGUCCGGAAUUAUUGGGCGUAAAGAGCUCGUAGGCGGUCCGUUGCGUCUGCCGUGAAAACCCGGAGCUCAACUCCGGGCCUGCGGUGGAUACGGGCGGACUAGAGGUCCGGUAGGGGAGACUGGAAUUCCGUGGUGUAGCGGUGGAAUGCGCAGAUAUCAGGAGGAACACCGGUGGCGAAGGCGGGUCUCUGGGCCGGAACUGACGCUGAGGAGCG